CAGGAUCUACAAUGAGUACUUUGAUCAACUCUGGUGACGUUUGUAUAAAAGUGACCUCUCAAGCUGUGUUCAGCCUAAAAGUCCAUUUAAUCAAGAUUUUCUACCUAGAAAAAGAAGAAACGAAGGCCAUGAACUUGAUUCAUUUCACUAGAGAAGCCUGUUGGAAGUGAGACUGUUGUCAACAGAAGGAAAUAGACCACACCUGGAAAGGGAUUUAUAAAUUGCAAAGAGCAUUCACAUGUAUGAGCUCAUCUGAGUUGGAUGGAAGCUGCCAUUCACACCUCUGUCAUCAAGACCAAAAUACCUUGUGACUUCACUCAGCAGCUGGCUGAGGGGUGUGAGGAACU